GAUGAACGCUGGCGGUAUGCUUAACACAUGCAAGUCGAACGGACUCUUCGGAGUUAGUGGCAGACGGGUGAGUAACGCGUGAGAAUCUGGCUUUGGGUUCGGGACAACCACUGGAAACGGUGGCUAAUACCGGAUGUGCCGAGAGGUAAAAGAGAAAUUGCCUGAAGAUGAGCUCGCGUCUGAUUAGCUAGUUGGUGAGGUAAAGGCUCACCAAGGCAGCGAUCAGUAGCUGGUCUGAGAGGAUGACCAGCCACACUGGGACUGAGACACGGCCCAGACUCCUACGGGAGGCAGCAGUGGGGAAUUGUCCGCAAUGGGCGAAAGCCUGACGGAGCAAUACCGCGUGAGGGAAGAAGGCUCUUGGGUUGUAAACCUCUUUUCUUAGGGAAGAACAAAAUGACGGUACCUAAGGAAUCAGCAUCGGCUAACUCCGUG
rnacentral:rRNA from 1 species